UACGGGGGGAGCAAGCGUUGUUCGGAUUUACUGGGCGUAAAGGGCGCGUAGGCGGUCGUGACAAGUCACUUGUGAAAUCUCCGGGCUUAACUCGGAACGGUCAAGUGAUACUGUCGGACUAGAGUACAGAAGGGGCAACUGGAAUUCUCGGUGUAGCGGUGAAAUGCGUAGAUAUCGAGAGGAACACCUGCGGCGAAGGCGGGUUGCUGGGCUGAUACUGACGCUGAUGCGCGAAAGCCAGGGGAGCAAACGGG
rnacentral:rRNA from 1 species